UCGUUUAACACGAUUGAGUAACUCAGUUUGGUUUUUUGAUUUCCAUCUUGAUUUUUGUUUGAUUUCUUUGAACUUCUCCUCGGCGAUUGAGUAAGUUCGGCGAUUAAUUCAGAAACAAAACUCACAGAAUAGAACCCUAGAUUCAGAACCAAAGCAAAACAGUAGAAACAACUGUAGCGGAUAUCAUACUCCUGGGCGAUUGAUUGUUUGCUGUCAAGAAGUUGGACAAGAGGGCUUCUGAACAACAACAUGAUCACGAAUUUAUCUCUGUGAGAAUUCAGGCUGAGUUUGUCUUCUUCACUACAAGAGCUUCUAAGUCGGUUUCUUUAUGGAAUUGAAGAAGUUUCAGCUUCAAUUGGGUGUGGAUGAGAGUUAUACACUUAUAGUGUCAAAGAAGAACAAGCAGGUUUUACUUUUGCUACUAUCGACUAUAUGUUGCUGGAGUAGAGUAGACACGGUCAUGGAUUAGUCUAAUAAAUGGAAAUUUAAUUAUAUAUAAAAAUUAUUUAUUUUAGUAUCUUAUUUCAAUCUCAACAGAAAUAUAAGAGAAAAAUUGCUACUGAAAACAGUUUCAUAUAAACUCUACAACAAAACCACUAAUGCUUUUGGUUUUCUAUAUAAGCUAAUUUUUUAAAGUGUUUUGAAACACCGAAAAAAUAUUUACUUGCUUGGUUUGAAAUACAAUUUCUGAAAAGUACCCCGCUGCAUAGCGCGGGUUCUAACCUAGUUCUUUUGUAAUUCAAAAAAACAGCCCAAAUUUUAAAAUCUAUAUAUACCCUCUACUACCAGAUCUCUCAUUACCGGA